AGGGAAUAGAUACCCGGGUAGUCCACGCCGUAAACUAUGGAUGCUAGCUGUGAACCGUAUCGACCCGGUUCGUAGCGAAAGCUAAACGCGUUAAGCAUCCCGCCUGUGGAGUACGGCUGCAAGGCUAAAACAUAAAGGAAUUGACGGGGACCCGCACAAGCGGUGGAGCGUGUUGUUUAAAUUCGAUGGUAAGCGAAGAACCUUACCCAGGCUUGACAUCCCGAGAAGCACUGCGAAAGCAGAGUGUGCCGUAAGGAACUCGGAGACAGGUGUUGCAUGGCCGUCGUCAGCUCGUGUCGUGAGAUGUUUGGUUAAGUCCAUCAACGAGCGCAACCCUUAUAGUCAGUUGUAUUUUUCUGGCUAGACUGCCCCGGUAACGGGGAGGAAGGGGGGGUAUGACGCCAGGUCAGUAUUACCCUUACGUCUGGGGCUACAAACACGCUACAAUGGCCGGUACAAUGGGAAGCCAACCCGCGAGGGGGUAGCUAAUCCCACCAAAGCCGGUCUCAGUUCGGAUUGCAGGCUGAAACCCGGCCUGCAUGAAGCUGGAAUCGCUAGU
rnacentral:rRNA from 1 species